GAUGAAGAACGUAGCGAAAUGCGAUACGUAAUGUGAAUUGCAGAAUUCAGUGAAUCAUCGAGUCUUUGAACGCACAUUGCGCCCCCUGGUAUUCCGGGGGGCAUGCCUGUCCGAGCGUCAUUGCUGCCCUCAAGCACGGCUUGUGUGUUGGGCCUCCGUCCUCCUCCCGGGGGACGGGCCCGAAAGGCAGCGGCGGCACCGCGUCCGGUCCUCGAGCGUAUGGGGCUUCGUCACCCGCUCUUGUAGGCCCGGCCGGCGCUUGCCGACACAUCAAUCUUUUUUCCAGGUUGACCUCGGAUCAGGUAGGGAUACCCGCUGAACUUAAGCAUAUCAAUUAAGCGGAGGA
rnacentral:misc_RNA from 1 species